GCUAGAUCUGGUGGGGGGCUGGCGAAGCACGGGCGGACACGGGAUUGCGGCUUGAGGCGGCGGCGAGAACGGGGCACCAGCAGCCGAGGGCGCGACAGUAGGGAUCUCCGGCGGCGGGGCACCGACUGCAGGUCGGCAGUGGGAGAAGAGGUUGUGUCAGCCGGGCCUGGCGAAGGAGUGGGUCGUGUUGGUGCUUGUGGGCUGGAUGGGGCGCUCGUUGCUUCGGAUCAGGGCACGCGCUCGCCUCGUCCCUACCGUGAACCCGAGAAAAGCAACCGACGGUGCCACUCUGGCACACGGGCGGCGCGUUUCCGCGGGGAGAGGCGGAUCAGGGCAAGGCCAACGUCGAGGGGUAGAUCCGGUAGGGGCCCUACUAGAAAAAAAGCCUAUAGCUAAUAUGGACAUUAAUGGCGCACCAUGCAUGUGGUGCACAACUGCUAUAUAGGAGUGGCGCACCACCUACUGGUG
rnacentral:lncRNA from 1 species